rnacentral:rRNA from 1 species
AGGACGAACGCUGGCGGCGUGCUUAACACAUGCAAGUCGAGCGGAAAGGCCCUUCGGGGUACUCGAGCGGCGAACGGGUGAGUAACACGUGAGCAACCUGCCCCUGGCUCUGGGAUAGCCUCCGGAAACGGGGAUUAAUACCGGACAUUCUCCGCCUUCCGCAUGGUUGGCGGUGGAAAGUUUUUUCGGUCGGGGAGGGCUCGCGGCCUAUCAGCUUGUUGGCGGGGUAACGGCCCACCAAGGCGACGACGGGUAGCC